CACACCCAUGCCAAUGCCCUCCUCUCCGCCGCAGGACCCCUCCCCAACAAAAUGCGCAACUGCACAUCUGGACCCUCCAACAACAACCCCCUUUUUCUCAGCAAAGUCCUUCUGUAA
rnacentral:ribozyme from 1 species